GGAUUAGAUACCCUGGUAGUCCACGCCGUAAACGAUGAGAACUAGGUGUAGCGGGUAUUGACCCCUGCUGUGCCGAAGUUAACGCAUUAAGUUCUCCGCCUGGGGAGUACGGCCGCAAGGCUAAAACUCAAAGGAAUUGACGGGGACCCGCACAAGCGGUGGAGCAUGUGGUUUAAUUCGACGCAACGCGAAGAACCUUACCUGGAUUUGACAUCCUCUGACAGCCUCAGAAAUGAGGUUUGUCCGACUUGUCGGAACAGAGUGACAGGUGCUGCAUGGCUGUCGUCAGCUCGUGCCG
rnacentral:rRNA from 1 species